UCUCCUAAGUUUGCUGCUAGUUUAUUUAAAAGUAAGACUGCACUACAAGCCACGUUAUUUAUAUAUUUACUGCAGCUGAUGGACCUGUGCAACGUCAAAUUGGGACAGUCCCAAUUAUUGGGUACCGGUAUAUAUGAUCAUUUUCCUCAAACGGUUUAUGCUCCGAUAAUUUGUCAUUUACCACCUGGCAACGCUGCACCCGGGAGAGAAGCUCCCAACCGACUUGACACCGCCGAAAGCCUCGGAACAGGGUUGUAAUCUGUCUUUUGUAUACAGUACAUAAAGCAGUGGUUGCUGGCAUGAAGUAGCUUCCUGGAAGGACCAGGAGUGGUAACCAUAAAUUAUAAAUUAUGAAACAUUUUGUCACGGCCUGGACUCGAACCCGUUUUUUGUCAGCUGCCAUGAUCUCCGCUGACAGCACGCUCAGACACGCCCCUGCUCGCGCGGAGAACAGCACGCCCACGCAGCGACAAGCCUGCAGACAAUCGGCAAUCUGCACACCUGGGACUGAUGAGGGCGAGCUGGAUAAAGGACCAGUGGACCCAGGGAUCCUUGCAGGAACUUAGUUUCUCGAUGGUGAACCUGUUUUCCUUCCGUUGCCCAGGAUCUCGACUGCCUCCCUCGAUUCUCGAGCCUAUCCCUGCACUGGGAUAGGCUCCAGUAGAUUUAUGCUGCUUUAACAUCUGCUG